CAAAGACUUCACAGCACCCUUAGCAGCAGGGAAAUGUGGAGUGGAAGGUGCUAAAACUGUAAUUAGAACAAGGCAUCUGUCUCCCAGCUCCUACUGAGCAGCUACUAAUCAAUGUGAUCACUUGCUUUGAGUAAGGAAGUGCUCACCCAUGGUUCCGCUGGACAUUUUCCCAGCCACUAGCAGACUGGAUGCUGGUAGAAAGUACCCUUGGCUUGGAGAGACAGAAGAGAAAUGGAAGAUUUAGGGAAGCAAAUACUAUUUUGCCACCAAUACCUGGAAAUCACAGGACCAGGGUCAGUUUCUUCGAGAAACCUUCUCUGACAAUUCUGGCUCAUUUUGUUUUUUCCUUUCUCUGAAAUUGCUUAUAUUUAGAGUGAGUACCAUUAUGUAUUACUUGACUAUAUCUUAAUUGAUCCUAGUAGGGUAUCAUCCUUACUUUAGCCAGGACAUAAAUUACUUGAAAGAGGGCCCAAGAUGUUUAGAAUUUUUAAUAUCUCUCCUUUUCUUCUUGAUCUUUAUUUUCC
rnacentral:lncRNA from 1 species